rnacentral:lncRNA from 1 species
CUUUCCCUUUAACUUUUCAGUCCAGAAGCCACUGGGAUUCCUGGAGUGUUUUCGGAGCAGUGAGUACCACAGACUUUAGCAAGCACACUGGAUGAGAAUCCAACAGUGACCUUGCUUGAGGAAGAUGAACAACGCUUCAGACAGCAUGUCAAAUAGAUUCAAGUUUUAAGAAAUCAGGAAGAAACCAUCUUGGAAAACAAAUAUUGUGAGCAAAUUGACCACAAAGCAUGUUAACUUCCAGUACUGGAAACUAGAACAAGACUGUAAAAUAAACAGGAAGGACUUAAAGUUUAUGAAAUAGAAAAAGAUAAUAUAAACGAUCAAUAUAACUAAAAGCUAGUCUUCAAAAGGACAGAGCCACAUUUCUGAGAAAGCUUCCUGACUGGAAUAAUAAAUUGUGCUUGAAAAACAUAGAAACAGAGGAGAGGGCAAGGUUACUGCUGAAAUGGAAAACUAAGUGACACAUGGCUUGAAAACUCUCAGAAUCACUGGCAUUCCCUGGUCAAGUUGAGUGGAACAAAUCACUCCCCAAACAAAAUGAAGUUUUGACUCUAUAGAGCCAAUGGAUGUGGACCCUGGACUUAGAAAGAGAUUUGUAAACAAACCAGAGAACACCGAAGAGCUGCUCCUUCGCACUGAAAUGGUUUGCUGGCUUUCUGCCUAGAUCCGACAUCUCUUCAAAUGGACAGUCCCAACUCUCCUUCUCUCACUUCUCUUCCCCCUUCUCUGUAAGUCACAAAUGCUGCAUUUGGAGGAACUUCAUUUUAACUAGGAUAAACAUCACAUAAUAAAUGAUGCAUUUUUUCUCAUAAAGCAAACCAUUUAUCAAUGUUUUUAGUAAUUGUUUGUGUUGGAGCCCUUGGUGGAAGUCUUAUGAUCUAUAGUGUCCAUUGAGGCUUCCAUUUAAAGGGGGGCAGAGACAAUGCCAAAGUUGAUACAAGGGAUGAUGGGGAGAUAAGCUCUCGAGGCCUAUAUAUUAUCCGCCCGCAGUGUUGGGAGGGCCACAGGAAGGAUGGUGAUUAUUCUAUUUGGCAAGCCAAUUGUCUGUCUUUGGAAAAUGAUAGGAUGAAGAGUGGAGUCAAAAAUAAUACCUUUCUCGAUGCCCAGAUAUAAAUGAGCUAUUUACAAUCCCUCCUGCCUUUUAGGUUUGGGUUUUAUUUUUCCUCUGCACAAUAGAUUAAACCUUCAAGGAGGUUUGUAGUAAAAGAGGAGGAAACUAUGAAAAACACCACAUACUUGCAGACACCUGCAAGCA